GUGGGGAAUAUUGGACAAUGGGCGCAAGCCUGAUCCAGCCAUGCCGCGUGAGUGAUGAAGGCCUUAGGGUUGUAAAGCUCUUUCACCGAUGAAGAUAAUGACGGUAGUCGGAGAAGAAGCCCCGGCUAACUUCGUGCCAGCAGCCGCGGUAAUACGAAGGGGGCUAGCGUUGUUCGGAAUUACUGGGCGUAAAGCGCACGUAGGCGGAUAUUUAAGUCAGGGGUGAAAUCCCAGAGCUCAACUCUGGAACUGCCUUUGAUACUGGGUAUCUCGAGUAUGGAAGAGGUGAGUGGAAUUCCGAGUGUAGAGGUGAAAUUCGUAGAUAUUCGGAGGAACACCAGUGGCGAAGGCGGCUCACUGGUCCAUUACUGACGCUGAGGUGCGAAAGCGUGGGGAGCAAACAGGAUUAGAAACCCGUGUAGUCC
rnacentral:rRNA from 1 species